rnacentral:rRNA from 1 species
UGCAGUCGACGAUUAAACUUUCCUUCGGGAAAGAUAUAAAGUGGCGCACGGGUGAGUAACACGUAAGUAAUCUACCUUCGGAUGGGGAAUAACAGUCGGAAACGACUGCUAAUACCGCAUAAUGCAGCGGCACCUAAUGGUGACAGUUGUUAAAGUAUUUAUACGUCUGGAGAGGAGCUUGCGGCAGAUUAGCUAGUUGGUAAGGUAAUGGCUUACCAAGGCUACGAUCUGUAGCCGACCUGAGAGGGUGGUCGGUCACACUGACACUGAAUAACGGGUCAGACUCCUACGGGAGGCAGCAGUCGGGAAUUUUGGGCAAUGGGCGAAAGCCUGACCCAGCAACGCCGCGUGAAGGAUGAAGUCUUUCGGGAUGUAAACUUCGUAAAAAUAGGAAGAAUAAAUGACGGUACUAUUUGUAAGGUCCGGCUAACUACGUGCCAGCAGCCGCGGUAAUACGUAGGGACCAAGCGUUGUUCGGAUUUACUGGGCGUAAAGGGCGCGUAGGCGGCGUAUCAAGUCAAUUGUGAAAUCUCCGGGCUUAACUCGGAACGGUCAAUUGAUACUGAUAUGCUAGAGUACAGAAGGGGCAAUCGGAAUUCUUGGUGUAGCGGUGAAAUGCGUAGAUAUCAAGAGGAACACCUGAGGUGAAGACGGGUUGCUGGGCUGAUACUGACGCUGAGGCGCGAAAGCUAGGGUAGCAAACGGGAUUAGAUACCCCGGUAGUCCUAGCCCUAAACGAUGAUACUUGGUGUCUGGAGUCUUAUUCUCUGGGUGCCGUCGCUACGUUUAAGUANUCCGCCUGGGGAGUACGCACGCAAGUGUGAANUCAAAGGAUUGAUG